rnacentral:tRNA from 1 species
CAGAGUCAGCUAAAAAAGCUUUUGGGCCCAUACCCCAAAAAUGUUGGUUCAACACCUUCCUCUGCUAAU